rnacentral:rRNA from 1 species
GAUGAACGCUGGCGGCGUGCCUAAUACAUGCAAGUCGAGCGAACAGACGAGGAGCUUGCUCCUCUGACGUUAGCGGCGGACGGGUGAGUAACACGUGGAUAACCUACCUAUAAGACUGGGAUAACUUCGGGAAACCGGAGCUAAUACCGGAUAAUAUAUUGAACCGCAUGGUUCAAUAGUGAAAGGCGGUUUUGCUGUCACUUAUAGAUGGAUCCGCGCCGCAUUAGCUAGUUGGUAAGGUAACGGCUUACCAAGGCAACGAUGCGUAGCCGACCUGAGAGGGUGAUCGGCCACACUGGAGCUGAGACACGGUCCAGACUCCUACGGGAGGCAGCAGUAGGGAAUCUUCCGCAAUGGGCGAAAGCCUGACGGAGCAACGCCGCGUGAGUGAUGAAGGUCUUUGGAUCGUAAAACUCUGUUAUUAGGGAAGAACAAAUGUGUAAGUAACUAUGCACGUCUUGACGGUACCUAAUCAGAAAGCCACGGCUAACUACGU